GACGAACGCUGGCGGCGCGCCUAACACAUGCAAGUCGAACGAGAGAUGAGGAGCUUGCUCUUCAAAUCGAGUGGCGAACGGGUGAGUAACGCGUGAGGAACCUGCCUCAAAGAGGGGGACAACAGUUGGAAACGACUGCUAAUACCGCAUAAGCGCACAGUACCGCAUGGUACAGAGCGAAAAACUCCGGUGGUAUAGGAUGGACCCGCGUCUGAUUAGUUAGUUGGCGGUGUAACGGACCACCAAGACGACGAUCAGUAGCCGGCUUGAGAGAGUGAACGGCCACAUUGGGACUGAGACACGGCCCAAACUCCUACGGGAGGCAGCAGUGGGGAAUAUUGCACAAUGGGGGAAACCCGUGAUGCAGCAACGCCGCGUGAGUGAAGAAGUAUUUCGGUAUGUAAAGCUCUAUCAGCAGGGAAGAAAAAUAGACGGUACCUGACUAAGAAGCCCCGGCUAACUAACGUG
rnacentral:rRNA from 1 species